rnacentral:rRNA from 1 species
CCUACGGGAGGCAGCAGUGAGGAAUAUUGGUCAAUGGACGAGAGUCUGAACCAGCCAAGUAGCGUGAAGGAUGACUGCCCUAUGGGUUGUAAACUUCUUUUAUAAAGGAAUAAAACGAGGCACGUGUGCCCUUUUGCAUGUACUUUAUGAAUAAGGAUCGGCUAACUCCGUGCCAGCAGCCGCGGUAAUACGGAGGAUCCGAGCGUUAUCCGGAUUUAUUGGGUUUAAAGGGAGCGUAGAUGGGUUGUUAAGUCAGUUGUGAAAGUUUGCGGCUCAACCGUAAAAUUGCAAUUGAUACUGGCAGUCUUGAGUACAGUUGAGGUAAGCGGAAUUCGUGGUGUAGCGGUGAAAUGCUUAGAUAUCACGAAGAACCCCGAUUGCGAAGGCAGCUUACUAAACUGUGACUGACAUUGAUGCUCGAAAGUGUGGGUAUCAAACAGGAUUAGAUACCCCAGUAGUC